GUGCUUGUAGCUCAGUUGGAUAGAGCGUAAACCUCCGGAGUUUAAGGCCACAGGUUCGAUUCCUGUCAGGCACGCCA
rnacentral:tRNA from 3 species